rnacentral:rRNA from 1 species
CAGACGGGUGAGUAAUGUAUAGGAAUCUACCUAGNAGUACGGAAUAAUUGUUGGAAACGGCAACUAAUACCGUAUACGCCCUACGGGGGAAAAAUUUAUUGCUAUUAGAUGAGCCUAUAUUAGAUUAGUUAGUUGGUGAGGUAAAGGCUUACCAAGACAAUGAUCUAUAGCUGAUCUGAGAGGAUGAUCAGCCACACUGGAACUGANAUACGGUCCA